rnacentral:rRNA from 1 species
UACAGAGGGGGCAAGCGUUAUUCGGAAUUAUUGGGCGUAAAGGGCGCGUAGGCGGCCUGGCAAGUGGAAGGUGAAAUCCCUCGGCUCAACCGGGGAACUGCGUGUGAUACUGGCGGGCUUGAAUUCGGGAGAGGGAUGUGGAAUUCCAGGUGUAGCGGUGAAAUGCGUAGAUAUCUGGAGGAACACCGGUGGCGAAGGCGGCAUCCUGGACCGAGAUUGACGCUGAGGCGCGAAAGCUAGGGGAGCAAACGGG